AGGACGAACGCUGGCGGCGUGCUUAACACAUGCAAGUCACGGGGGCCCGCAAGGGCAACCGGCGAACGGGUGCGUAACACGUGAGCAAUCUGCCGAUUUCUGGGGGAUAGCCGGCCUAACGGCCGGGUAAUACCGCAUACGCUCGUUGAGAGGAGUCUCUCGGCGAGGAAACCUCCGGGGGAAAUCGAGGAGCUCGCGGCCUAUCAGCUAGUUGGUGAGGUAACGGCUCACCAAGGCUUUGACGGGUAGCUGGUCUGAGAGGACGACCAGCCACACUGGGACUGAGACACGGCCCAGACACCUACGGGUGGCAGCAGUCGAGAAUUUUUGACAAUGGGGGAAACCCUGAUCGAGCGACGCCGCGUGGAGGAUGAAGGUCUUCGGAUUGUAAACUCCUGUCAUUGGGGAACAAGGUGCAUACGCUAACUGCGUGUGUAUUGAUAGUACCCGAAGAGGAAGGGACGGCUAACUCUGUGCCAGCAGCCGC
rnacentral:rRNA from 1 species